CUGAAACUUUCUCCACCAACUCUUCGGUAUCCCUCCUGCUGCUGACUCUAGAACUCAUCUCUCUCCUGUCAUUCAGAUCAACAUGAAGAUCUCUAUCUUUGCUGGUGUUCUGCUGA